rnacentral:lncRNA from 10 species
AGGCCUGGUCCUGGAGGCUCUUGACUCCAGGCUUCCCUAAGGUUCCUGGAAGGCCUUCAUGUGUUAUUACUGGUUGGACAGAGAAGAGCACUGCCAGCCCCAGAUGGGAGUGAGAAGGCCGGUCGGGGAGAAGGUAAGCAAUUGAGAAGGCGGAAGGGGCAAAAGGAAACUGGAGAGGGCGGCAGGAAGAGAGAAAAGGAAGAGAGCAGAGGCGUGGAGAAGAGGAAAAGAGGAGGGCGGGGAAAGGGGAGGCUGCGUUUUGCAGGACUGGGCAGCUCCAGAGACAGUGGAACACCGGUGUCUUUUUGGACCCUAUGGUACAUAGGGGGACAGGGAAGGAGCCCGGUUUGGGCUUAACUGGGGGAUGCUGGGAGUCUCUCUGGUCCAGGAGGUCUUAGGCAUCUGUGUGCCUGAGGCUAUCUGGGUCUCCCCAGUGUCUCCCCACACACCUGUGCCAACUUGCCCACUUCAUACUUUUCCUGUUGCCUUCGAUUCACAACUCGCCUUGCUCACGUCCUUCUAGAAAAAAACGGUACGUGUUGAUGUCACUACCUCCCCGUGGAAGCAGGAGGGGAGGGUGGAGAAAGUGGAUUUGGUCAUCACUUCCGGCCCUUUAGAAUCACACUGCCGGUCAGGCGUAGUGGCUCACGCCUGUAAUUCCAACAGUUUGGGAGGCCGAGGUGGGAGGAUUGCUUGAGCCCAGGAGUUUGAGACCAGCCUGGACGAUAUAGUGAGACCCCCAUCUCUACAAAAAAAACUUCGAAAAAACUAGCCAGGCGAGGUGGCACGCACCUGUACUCCCAGGUACUAGGGAAGCUGAGGCAGGGAGAUUGCUUGAGCCUGGGAGGUCGAGGCUGCAGUGAGCCGUGGUUGUGCCGCUGCACUAAAGCCUGGGCAACAGAGCAAGACCUCAACUCUAAAGAAAAGAAAAAAGAAUCACACUUUAUUAUUAAUUAUUUUGAACCAUGAGAUAAUAAAAAAGGAAGGACCUUUUUCCCACUUAAAAAUGUUUCAGACUAAUAAUAAUUGCUAACAUUUACUGGGCUCUUACUGUGUUCUAAUAAUAGGUGUCAGCAUUUAGAAAUCUAAUGUCAUUUAAGGCACGCAGCAACCUGGUGCUAUUGUCAUCCCUAUUGACAGAAGCGAAAUGGUUCACCCAAAGCCACACUGCCAGCAAACAGCGAGGCUAAAAUGAGGGACCCAGACAGUCUGACUUCAGAGACUGCACUUAAGUUACUUAACAGAAAUUAAUGUCAGUUAAGUGACAGAACUAGAACUUGAAUGUAGAUCCUCUGUCUCCAAAUCCUAUUGAAUCCUCUAUAUCACUGUUCUUAAAUUUUUUGGUCUCAGACCCCUUUAUUCUCUAAAUAUUGAAGAUUCUAAAGAAUAUCAUUUCUGCAGUUUUUGUGUGUUGCUAUUUACAGCACUAUAAAUUAAAGCAAAGUAAUUUAAAUAUUUAUUAAUUCAUUUGAAACAAUAAUAAUAAACCCACUCCAUGUAAACAUAAACAACAUCUUUAUGAAAACAUUGUCGGCCAGGCACAGUGACUCACGCCUAUAAUCCCGGCAUUUUGGGAGGCCUAGGUGGGUGGAUCACGAGGUCAGGAGUUCCAGACCAGCCUGGCUAACACGGUGAAACCCUGUCUCUACUAAAAAUACAAAAUUUAGCCGGGCAUGGUGGCGGGCGCCUGUAAUCCCAGCUACUCGGCAGGCUGAGGCAGGAGAAUCGCAUGAACCGGGGAGACGGAGGUUGCAGUGAGCCGAGAUCACACCACCGCACACUAGCCUGGGCGACAGAGCAAGACUCUAUCUCAA